rnacentral:rRNA from 1 species
GACGUAGGGCGCGAGCGUUGUCCGGAUUUAUUGGGCGUAAAGAGCUCGUAGGCGGUUUGUCGCGUCUGCUGUGAAACCUAAGGCUCAACCUUGGGCUUGCAGUGGGUACGGGCAGACUAGGAGUGCGGUAGGGGUGACUGGAAUUCCUGGGUGUAGCGGUGGAAUGCGCAGACUAUCAGGAGGAACACCAAUGGCGAAAGGCAGCUCGCUGGGACGGUAC